rnacentral:rRNA from 1 species
UACGGAGGGGGCUAGCGUUGUUCGGAAUUACUGGGCGUAAAGCGCGCGUAGGCGGACCUGCAAGUCGGGGGUGAAAGCCCGAGGCUCAACCUCGGAACUGCCUUCGAUACUGCGGGUCUCGAGUCCGGGAGAGGUGAGUGGAAUUCCUAGUGUAGAGGUGAAAUUCGUAGAUAUUAGGAAGAACACCAGUGGCGAAGGCGACUUACUGGACACAUAUUGACGCUGAGGUGCGAAAGCGUGGGGAGCAAACAGG